GCAGUGGUAGUUUAGUGGUAGAAUUCUCACCUUGCACGCGGGAGAUCUGGGUUUGAUUCCUGCCCAAUGCA
rnacentral:tRNA from 1 species